rnacentral:rRNA from 1 species
CCCUUAGAUGUCCGGGGCCGCACGCGCGCUACAAUGGAUGAAUCAACGCGUCAUCCUGGCCCGAAAGGGUUGGGGAACCGCUGAACCUCAUCCGUGGUUGGGAUUGGGGUUUGUAAUUAUUCCCCAUGAGCUAGGAAUUCCCAGUAAGCGCGAGUCAUAAGCUCGCGCUGAUUACGUCCCUGCCCUUUGUACACACCGCCCGUCGCUACGACCGACUGUUUCUGUCAAUGAAGCUGUAGGAUUCGGCCCUGGCCGGGGCGCAAGCCCUGGCUACGUGGUUGGAGAUCAUAGUUUAGUUGAUACGAAAUACAGGACGUAAAAGUCGUAACA